rnacentral:rRNA from 1 species
CAAUAGCGUAUAUUAAAGUUGUUGCAGUUAAAAAGCUCGUAGUUGGAUUUGUGGUGUGUCCAGUCGGCCUUUGCUCUCUGAGUGAUUGUGCUGUACUGGUCUGCCAUGUUUGGGUGGAAUCUGUGUGGCAUUAAGUUGUCGUGCAGGGGAUGCCCAUCGUUUACUGUGAAAAAAUUAGAGUGUUCAAAGCAGGCUUAUGCCGUUGAAUAUAUUAGCAUGGAAUAAUGAUAUAGGACCUUGGUACUAUUUUGUUGGUUUGCGCACUAAGGUAAUGAUUAAGAGGGACAGUUGGGGGUAUUUGUAUUCCAUUGUCAGAGGUGAAAUUCUUAGAUUUUUGGAAGACAAACUACUGCGAAAGCAUUUACCAAGGAUGUUUUCAUUAG